rnacentral:rRNA from 1 species
UACGUAGGGUGCGAGCGUUAAUCGGAAUUACUGGGCGUAAAGGGUGCGCAGGCGGUUAUAUAAGACAGAUGUGAAAUCCCCGGGCUCAACCUGGGAACUGCGUUUGUGACUGUAUGACUAGAGUACGGUAGAGAGGGGUGGAAUUCCUGGUGUAGCAGUGAAAUGCGUAGAUAUCAGGAGGAACAUCGAUGGCGAAGGCAGCCCCUUGGACCUGUACUGACGCUCAUGCACGAAAGCCGUGGGGGAGCAAACAGG